rnacentral:rRNA from 1 species
CGCCUCUUGAAUAAAAAUAAGAGGUCCAGCCUGCCCAGUGACUAAUAUUCAACGGCCGCGGUAUCCUAACCGUGCGAAGGUAGCGUAAUCACUUGUUCUUUAAAUGGGGACUAGUAUGAAUGGCAUCACGAGGGUUAUACUGUCUCCUUUUUCUAAUCAGUGAAUCUAAUCUCCCCGUGAAGAAGCGGGGAUACACCUACAAGACGAGAAGACCCUAUGGAGCUUUAAAUACCUCUUCAAACGUUGGACUCCUCCCCAGUUUUAAACUCACCUAUAUUAACCCCGUACGCUAUGAAGACAACUUUAGGUUGGGGUGACCGCGGAGUACAACAUAACCUCCACGCUGAAUUCAGACUCUUUAAGCCUGAGCCAAGAGCCACUGCUCAAAGCACUAAGAAAUUAACAUUUAUUGACCCAAAACAUUUGAUCAACGAACCAAGUUACCCUAGGGAUAACAGCGCAAUCCAUUUCAAGAGUCCAUAUCGACAAAUGGGUUUACGACCUCGAUGUUGGAUCAGGGUAUCCCAGUGGUGCAGCCGCUACUAAUGGUUCGUUUGUUCAACGAUUAAAACCC